AGUUGGGUACCCUAAGGAGACUGCCGGUGAUAAGCCGAGAGGAAGGUGUGGACGACGUCAAGUCAUCAUGGCCCUUACGGGUUGGGCUACACACGUGCUACAAUGGCAUCUACAGUGAGUUAAUCUCCAAAAGAUGUCUCAGUUCGGAUUGGGGUCUGCAACUCGACCCCAUGAAGUUGGAAUCGCUAGUAAUCGCGGAACAGCAUGCCGCGGUGAAUACGUUCCCGGGCCUU
rnacentral:rRNA from 1 species